rnacentral:rRNA from 1 species
AUUGAACGCUGGCGGCAGGCCUAACACAUGCAAGUCGAGCGGAUGAGUGGAGCUUGCUCCAUGAUUCAGCGGCGGACGGGUGAGUAAUGCCUAGGAAUCUGCCUGGUAGUGGGGGACAACGUUUCGAAAGGAACGCUAAUACCGCAUACGUCCUACGGGAGUAAGUGGGGGAUCUUCGGACCUCACGCUAUCAGGUGAGCCUAGGUCGGAUUAGCUAGUUGGUGAGGUAAAGGCUCACCAAGGCGACGAUCCGUAACUGGUCUGAGAGGAUGAUCAGUCACACUGGAACUGAGACACGGGCCAGACUCCUACGGGAGGCAGCAGUGGGGAAGAUUGGACAAUGGGCGAAAGCCUGAUCCAGCCAUGCCGCGUGUGUGAAGAAGGUCUUCGGAUUGUAAAGCACUUUAAGUUGGGAGGAAGGGCAGUAAGUUAAUACCUUGCUGUUUUGACGUUACCAACAGAAUAAGCACCGGCUAACUUCGUGCCAGCCGCCGCCGUAAAAC